GUAUGUAGGACCUAGAUCAUGAAUCUAUUUGUGUCUCAGAUGUGUAGCUGGUGACUGCAUUCACAUAACUAAGGAUAGCUGGGACCCCUCCACACUUGGCUACGGGAAGAUUCCCAGCCUGCACAUGUGAAGAGUUGUAAGGAAAACCUGCCAAAAUCCUGUGGCUGGUGCUGAGGACACGCUCACCCGCAUGGCUCUGUCAGAUAGUUGAUUUCCUCUUUUCUGACCGUCUCUGGAUCACAAAGGUCCCAAUACAGGAGGAAAUGCUGCCCCUUUACUUGUCCAAAUCAGGCUCCUUUGGUCUUACUGGUCCACCUGUGUGUGGUGAUUGUGUGUGUGCAGGUGAGAUGUGAUCUCUCACCCUCCAGCACCUGCCUCUGGCCCUUAACCAAAACUAUGGACAUCUAUCCUGUGGAGCUAGAAGCCAAAAUGAAUCUUCUUUGAUGUAUUUCUGUCAUGGUGUUUUAUCUUAGCAACAAAAAUGUCUACAAUGAAAAGAGCAAGUGGAACAGUAAGAAAUGACAAAUGCUUGGCAUUUUGCAUUUGGAGGAAAAAGGACACUAGGAAUCUCAGUGUCACAGGAUGACUGUGAGGGGGUGGGGCUUGAAGGGGAGGCUCCUGCGCUGUAGUGGAACAGUGGGAAGG